rnacentral:rRNA from 1 species
UAAGCGGAGGAAAAGAAACUAACAAUGAUUCCCUUAGUAACGGCGAGUGAAGGGGGAAAAGCUCAAAUUUUAAAUCUGCUAGGUUUUACCUAUCAGAGUUGUAUUUUGAAGAAGCGUUUUCCGCGUCUCGGUUGACCCAAAUCCUUUGGGAUGAGGUAUCAUGGAGGGUGAGAAUCCCGUCCGGUUGACCUUAUGACGCUUUACGAUACGUUUUUCAAAGAGUCGAGUUGUUUGGGAUUGCAGCUCAAAAUGGGAGGUAAAUUUCUCCUAAGGCUAAAUAUUGGCGAGAGACCAAUAGUGAACAAGUACCGUGAGGGAAAGAUGAAAAGAACUUUGAAAAGAGAGUAAAAUAGUACGUGAAAUUGUUGAAAGGGAAACGAUUGAAGUCAGUCAUACCGACGAGAAAUCAGCUCUUCGAGUGUGAACUUGUGGGCGUGUGAGAGCUUUAAACCCUCGCUGUUUGCAACGUUUGUGCCUUUUGGGUGUACUUUUUCGUAUGGUAGGCCAACAUCAGUUUCGAGCACCAUAAAAUGACCGGCGGAAUGUAGCUUCGAUCUUGUAUUGAAGUGUUAUAGCUUCUGGUAGAUGUGGUGUUCGGGACUGAGGAUUGCAACGAAUACCUUUUAGGCUAUCCGUCUGAUCUCUGAAAGUCGCUUAGGUGCCGAAAAGCAUGCUUACGGUUAUUUAAGUUUGACGGUCAAAAGGUUGAACGUGAUUACAUUCGUUAAGAUGUUGGCGUUAAUGGGCUUUAAAACGACCCGUCUUUGAAAACACGGACCAAGGAGUCUAACAUGUAAUGCGAGUGUU